rnacentral:rRNA from 1 species
UAUGGUAAUUGUGUGCCUGAAGAAGAGGUAAUACGGAAGAUGCGAGCGUUAUCCGGAUUUAUUGGGUUUAAAGGGAGCGUAGGCGGGCUUUUAAGUCAGCGGUCAAAUGUCGUGGCUCAACCAUGUCAAGCCGUUGAAACUGUAAGCCUUGAGUCUGCACAGGGCACAUGGAAUUCGUGGUGUAGCGGUGAAAUGCUUAGAUAUCACGAAGAACUCCGAUCGCGAAGGCAUUGUGCCGGGGCAUAACUGACGCUGAGGCUCGAAAGUGCGGGUAUCAAACAGG